GGACAGCACAGCAGAGAACCUGCCUGGGGUGCCGGAGCUGUGAGUUCAAUCCCAGCCAGGUCUCCUAAAUGGGCAGCCAUGUCUUGUUGUCAGCAGGGCUUGGGCUGUGCCAUGACAUUAUUUCUUCUUGCAGCCUGUGCCAGAGAAUAAUCUGAGGCUGAGUAAUGGGAAGUAGCUGGUAAGGUAGGCACACUCUAGCUUAGUGAAACUGCUCCUUCC